UAAGGACAUACCUAAACAUAUUAAAAUAUUAUUCACUUUGACAAUGGAACUAGUUCCAAGACAUGAACUAUUGCUAUAUUAGAAACAAGAAGCAAUCAGUAUUUUUCAUUGCCUAAGAAUCUCUAUACUACAAAAAAUCCAUCACUUCUAAUGAAAUUGACACACAGAAAAUGAAGCCACAUGAACAUCUGAAAGAGAUUAAAACGGAAUAAAAAGUC